rnacentral:rRNA from 1 species
UACGUAGGGUGCAAGCGUUAAUCGGAAUUACUGGGCGUAAAGCGUGCGCAGGCGGUUGUGCAAGACCGAUGUGAAAUCCCCGGGCUUAACCUGGGAAUGGCAUUGGUGACUGCACGGCUAGAGUGUGUCAGAGGGGGGUAGAAUUCCACGUGUAGCAGUGAAAUGCGUAGAGAUGUGGAGGAAUACCGAUGGCGAAGGCAGCCCCCCUGGGGAUAACACUGACGCUCAUGCACGAAAGCGUGGGGAGCAAACAGG